UAUAUAUAGAUUAUCGUUGAUCAUCUCAACGAGAUUGAUUUUCUCGCUUGAGCCGCGACGGCGAAAGCUAGAAAGGCAAUCGAGUUGAGAUGACCAAUGAUAAUCUGUUUAUCGCUAUUUUGCCUAUGACGACGUUGUCAAUUUCAUGUCAAUUUCGUUAGCAACGCCACGUGCCUGCUUAGUUUUUAGCGAUAAUUUUUCCAUCUCAAG
rnacentral:lncRNA from 1 species